CGGCGUGCUUAACACAUGCAAGUCGAACGAAGAGCGAUGGAAGCUUGCUUCUAUCAAUCUUAGUGGGCGAACGGGUGAGUAACGCGUAAUCAACCUGCCCUUCGAGAGGGGGACAACAGUUGGAAACGACUGCUAAUACCGCAUACGAUCUAAUCUCGGCAUCGAGGAUAGAUGAAAGGUGGCCUCUAUUUAUAAGCUAUCACUGAAGGAGGGGAUCGCGUCUGAUUAGCUAGUUGGAGGGGUAACGGCCCACCAAGGCGAUGAUCAGUAGCCGGUCUGAGAGGAUGAACGGCCACAUUGGGACUGAGACACGGCCCAGACUCCUACGGGAGGCAGCAGUGGGGAAUCUUCCGCAAUGGACGAAAGUCUGACGGAGCAACGCCGCGUGAGUGAUGACGGCCUUCGGGUUGUAAAGCUCUGUUAAUCGGGACGAAAGGCCUUCUUGCGAAUAGUUAGAAGGAUUGACGGUACCGGAAUAGAAAGCCACGGCUAACUACGUG
rnacentral:rRNA from 1 species